rnacentral:rRNA from 1 species
CUUGACGACCAUAGAGCGUUGGAACCACCUGAUCCCAUCCCGAACUCAGCAGUGAAACGAUGCAUCGCCGAUGGUAGUGUGGGGUUUCCCCAUGUGAGAGUAGGUCAUCGUCAAGC